rnacentral:rRNA from 1 species
GGAUCCCUAGCUGGUCUGAGAGGAUGACCAGCCACACUGGAACUGNAGACACGGUCCAGACUCCUACGGGAGGCAGCAGUGGGGAAUAUUGCACAAUGGGCGCAAGCCUGAUGCAGCCAUGCCGCGUGUAUGAAGAAGGCCUUCGGGUUGUAAAGUACUUUCAGCGGGGAGGAAGGCGAUGUGGUUAAUAACCGCAUUGAUUGACGUUACCCGCAGAAGAAGCACCGGCUAACUCCGUGCCAGCAGCCGCGGUAAUACGGAGGGUGCAAGCGUUAAUCGGAAUUACUGGGCGUAAAGCGCACGCAGGCGGUCUGUUAAGUCAGAUGUGAAAUCCCCGGGCUUAACCUGGGAACUGCAUUUGAAACUGGCAGGCUUGAGUCUCGUAGAGGGGGGUAGAAUUCCAGGUGUAGCGGUGAAAUGCGUAGAGAUCUGGAGGAAUACCGGUGGCGAAGGCGGCCCCCUGGACGAAGNNNGACGCUCAGGUGCGAAAGCGUGGGGAGCAAACAGGAUUAGAUA